AACGCACAUUGCGCCCUUUGGUCUUCCAUGGGGCAUGCCUGUUCGAGCGUCAUUCAAACCUUCAAGCUCCCGCUUGGUGUUGGGCGCUUGUCCCGCCCGCGUGCGUGGACUCGCCUUAAAACUAUCGGCGUCGACGUGUCGGCCUCGAGCGCAGCAGAAGAGUCGCUCCGGGGCCUGGCGCUGCGGCUUGCCGUAAAACGACCACCCAAUUCUUGACCUCGGAUCAGGUAGGGAUACCCGCUGAACUUAA
rnacentral:misc_RNA from 1 species